UGGCCAGCUCCAGGCCAUGGAUAUACCAGUGUGUGUAGAACUCACCAGGGACAAGAGGAGCCAAGCUGUGACACUCGGGGACGCAGCAGGGCAGUCAGCCACACCGCCCUGCCAGCACUGAGUGAGGCUGGGAGGUUCAGGAUCAUCUUCAGCAUGGAUCCCUACCUUCCUGAAAGCUGCUGUCUGCCAUGCCUCCUGGCGCAACUGUGCAUGCUCCUCCAUUGUAUUUUGUCAGGAUUAUCUGGUUUAAUUUAAACACUUACUAUUUUCUUACAUCAGUGGCUUUGACAGAGCAGACGAGGAGCAGCCAGAGGUGGAGGCGAGCGUCACAGAGAGCAGGCACCCAUCACCUCCCACCACCUCAGCCUGGGCCCAGGCACUGGAAAUGCACUUUUUGUUUGGCUGAGUUGACUUCAGUUGCUUUGCAGCGUCAUAGCAAAUUAAAUUCACAUCCUACCUUAAUCCAGAACUAAUUCCGUACUUAUCUUCUCAAGUUAUUUUCUGGUUUGAACACCAGGCCACGGCCCGCAUUGCCUGGCUUAGAGAUGCUUGCUGUACAAGCUUUGCAGCUCUUGCCAUCAGAUGGCACAAACCACUCCUAGCAGGAAUGUGUCCCUUGUUUCCCUUCCUCUGGGCUGCAGAAGAAAAGCUGUGGGUGUGCUGCUGGGGAAAAGUCCAGGGCAGUCAUUGAGGCCGCAGCCUUCCUGGCUGCCUCACCAAGAUGGCCCGUGCUCUCAGCCACAGCAGCAGAAAGCCAUACUGCGUGAAGGGGUGCUGACGGAGGAGCUUCCCUGAGGUGAUCUGUCCAACAACUUGGGCUUGCAGCUAGAGCAUGACACUGGCAGCAAGGAGCAGAAACAGGAGCACAGCGGGCGGAGCAGGAGCAUCGGUUGAGCUCCAUCCACAUCCUGUCACCCAUCUGGGACCCUGGGGCAAGGCGAGAUCUCCCUUAUUGUAAAGCCUAUGUAGAUGACAUAGGUUUGUACAUUUGAACCAAGGUCCAUACUUUGGCAUUGUGACCUAUGUCACACUACAUCCACAUAGCCAGAGCUGCUGCAGUGGGAGGAGUGCUGCCGCUAAAAGGCCUGCACCCGGGGAAGCUGGUGAACCCUGCACUUGGCAAACAGCACUAGCAGCAAGAACUGGCAAAGGGGAAAGCAAAGAUACAAAGUGCAGAGAGACGGGGUAACAUUUACAUGAGAAACAAUCCGCUCUCCAGCCCCCACCCACGGCGCUUCCCCUCGUUUCAGGAGCUGCCGGAGCGCAGGAAGGGAACGGUUCCUGGCAGAGGGACAGCGCUGCGAGGAGGCAGACGCGUUUCCAGGGCCGGAGAGAACGUAUGUGAGAAGGGGACGUGGGGGGAAUGGGGCCGAGGGCCGCCGCAGGGCUGCGCACUGCGCCCGGGCCUCACUGGGGCACGCGGCCUGCGUGGGGACGGGGCUGUGGGGCACGCGAUGCACACACACGAACACACGGAUAGAGGUGUGAGCACGCAGACGCUAAUAUUGCUGCCUACCGACGCCGAGGAUGUAAGAUGCAGUUUACGGGCCUAGCGCAACCCGCUCCUAUAAAUAAUACAUUCCGAUCACCGUGGCCUCAAAAUGUCAAUACCGCGCAGCCCCGCACAUUUGCAUAUCUUGAACUGCCUCAACUUGAAGCACGUCAGCUAUAUGCUUCUGUUUGUACUUUAACUUCAU